AGCGAACGCUGGCGGCAGGCCUAACACAUGCAAGUCGAACGGAUCCUUCGGGAUUAGUGGCGGACGGGUGAGUAACACGUGGGAACGUGCCCUUUGGUUCGGAACAACUCAGGGAAACUUGAGCUAAUACCGGAUGUGCCCUUCGGGGGAAAGAUUUAUCGCCAUUGGAGCGGCCCGCGUCUGAUUAGCUAGUUGGUGAGGUAACGGCCCACCAAGGCGACGAUCAGUAGCUGGUCUGAGAGGAUGAUCAGCCACACUGGGACUGAGACACGGCCCAGACUCCUACGGGAGGCAGCAGUGGGGAAUCUUGCGCAAUGGGCGAAAGCCUGACGCAGCCAUGCCGCGUGAAUGAUGAAGGUCUUAGGAUUGUAAAAUUCUUUCAGCGGGGACGAUAAGGACGGUACCCGCAGAAGAAGCUCCGGCUAACUUCGU
rnacentral:rRNA from 1 species